ensembl:lncRNA
UUGCCAUCAUCGAUGGCUACAACAUGAAUCUGGUGCAAGAGAGCCCAAAACAUCAAGCCCAGUACUUACUCAUUAUGGCACAGUACCAGAACCAGCAUUGUCGCGUCCAUGGACGAGUCUCUCUGGACGUUUCUUCCUGAGGGGAAAACAUAUUUAAGUUAAACUCUUGCAGAUUUUAAAAAUAGAUAAAUGUUAGCUAUGAAGUUAGCAAAGGACUACAGACUAAAACUAGACUUGUAAAGCAUAAGAUAUGCUAAGAACCAUAGGUUGCGUUUCAGAAGUCAGAUCCGAUAGAAUUUCAUUCACAUGAAAUCAGGUUCGGGAUAGAUUUAAAAAAUAGAUAAUGUUAGCUAUGAAGUUAGCAAAGGACUACAGACUAAAACUAGACUUGUAAAGCAUACUG